GCUCCGAUAGCCUAGUGGUUAGAGCAUCCGCCUCUGAUGCGGGAGGUCGUGGGUUCGAUCCCCGGUCGUCAUA